rnacentral:lncRNA from 8 species
AUGCUCUGUGAUGAAUAUGCAAGACCUGAAGUGGAAAGAGGAAUUUUCUCCACUGACAGGUACCAUAAAAGGUCCAACUACAACAGGAAAUACUUUCAACGCAACCAUCAGCGGAAUAGAGAGGAUGGUGUGUAUUGGGUGGCUGGGGGCGAGGGCAGAAACAAUCUGCUCAUAAUGUCAUUACACACACAUAGUUUGUUGUUCUAUAAAGUACUGGUACUCUGGCUUGUUUUGACAGUUUUUAAAGCCUUGAACAGAGGAGUGGAUCCGAUCAUCGUUGACAACACAAACAUUUCUCUUUGGGAGAUGUGGCCCUAUAUCCACAUGGGGAUGCGACAGGGUGACUAUGACAUCACUAUGAUGGAGCUGCCUAAAGGCUAUCCUCAGCACAAAAUCUCCAUCAAUAAGCUGUACAGGUCAGAAACAACCUCUUCAUUAACAGCCUACAUUCUCACAGUGUACACACAGUACAUGUGCAUUGGGGUAGGAUUGUAUACUGGUUUACCAGUUUUACAGCCAUCAAUAGAUUGUUAUUAAUUAUCUAUAAAUUACACAUUGGUUAUCAAUUCAAUGAUAAAAAAGCUGUGUUAUCUCCCUAUAGAUGGUGUCAUGGUAACAUCCCCAAGCGUACGUUCAGGUACUUUGAGGCUCACUGGGAAAAAGCUUACAACAUCAAGCAUGUACUUAACGACAGCUACUCCAUAAACCGCUGGGAGAGAAGCAAAGAAAAAUGGAAUGUCCAGUGAUGAAGACAUGCUGGCCUUCUCCCCCCCAAAGUCCACAAGUCCAGAACAAAUUCAUAAAAACCUACAGUAUUAUAUAGAGCCCUUAUUGCAUGGAACUUCCUUCCAUCUCAUAUUGCUCAAAUAAACAGCAAACCUGGUUUCAAAAAACAGGUAAAGCAACACCUCGCGGCACAACGCCUCGCCCCUAUUUGAUCUAGAUAGUGUGUGUAUGCAUUGAUAUGUAGGCUACGUGUGCCUUUUUAAAAAUGUAUGUAGUUCUGUCCUUGAGCUGUUCUUGUCUAAUGAUGUCCUGUAUUAUGUCAUUCUGUAUUAUGUUUCAUGUUUUGUGUUGACCCCAGGAAUAGUAGCUGCUGCUUUGCAACAGCUAAUGGGAAUCCUAUUAAAAUACCAAAUACCAAAAUUAUACUUGUCUUUCUUGCACUGACUCUAAGUCGCAUCUGCUAAAUGACCAAAAUGUUUACAUAGGCUGGUCCCAUCUGUUGCUGUCUCGCCAACUGCUAUUGUCAUCGGCGUGACCAUAGAACUAUAGGAGUUGGCAAGAGCACAAACUGAUCUGGGACCAGGCUACAGUAGCCUAUACAGUACUUAAAAACAUACAAAUAUUCAAAUAUAUUUUAAAAACUUCUAAGAAAUAGUUUCAAAAAGUGUUGACGGUAUUGAAAAACCAUCCCAUGGCUUUUUCCAAACACCCCGGUAUACGGUAUAUACAGAUACGUAUAUGUAACGGCUGUCGGGAGACAGAGUAGACCAAGGCGCAGUGGAGUUAGUGUUCAUCAUGAUUUGAAUGGACGAAAGAACACUAUACACAAAAACGAGAAAACUGACAACCAAACAGUAGUGUCAGGUGCAAUACGUAACAGAAACAAUUACCCACAAAACCCAACGAUAAAACAGGCACUUAUGUGUGACUCCCAAUCAGCAAUAACCAACAACAGCUGUGCCUGAUUGGAAGCCACACGGCCAAAAUCAAUGAAACAGACAACAUAGAAAAUGAACAUAGAAUGCCCACCCAAUGUAACACCCUGGCCUAACCAAAAUAAAGAACAAAAACCCCUCUCUAUGGCCAGGGCGUUACAGUAUAUUUUAAUAAUGCUGGCAACAUUAUACAGGACAGAAAAUUGGGUUGUGCUUUUCCAAACAACAACUCUGCAGAAUUACUCAUAUUAGUCUAAAGUGAGUCCCUCAGUUUCUGAUCUUUAACCCCCCCCCAUCCCUUUCUAUGGGGAAAGAAGCUGGAAACAUCUUCACAUUUCUUCCCCCAGUUUGAUCUUCUUCAUGAAUCCACACACUUUGUCUUUUGUUGCUGAGUAUUGUCCUUCAUGCAACCUUGUGAUUUCAAGGUUUAUAAAUUCUUCUCAAGUUUGUAAUUGCCACUUAAAUUAUUAUUAUUUUAUUUUUUAUUGACCCUUUAUUUAACUAGGAAAGUCAGUUAAGAAAAAAUUCUUAUUUACAAUGACGCCCUACCAAAAGGCAAAGGGCCUCCUGCGGGGACG